UACGGAGGGUGCAAGCGUUAAUCGGAAUUACUGGGCGUAAAGCGCACGCAGGUGGCUGAGUCAGUCGAUUGUGAAAGCCCUGGGCUUAACCUGGGAAUUGCAGUCGAUACUACUCAGCUAGAGUAUGGGAGAGGGUAGUGGAAUUCCCGGUGUAGCGGUGAAAUGCGUAGAUAUCGGGAGGAACAUCAGUGGCGAAGGCGGCUACCUGGACCAAUACUGACACUCAGGUGCGAAAGCGUGGGGAGCAAACAGG
rnacentral:rRNA from 1 species